rnacentral:rRNA from 1 species
GAUGAACGCUGGCGGCGUGCCUAAUACAUGCAAGUCGAGCGAACGGACGAGAAGCUUGCUUCUCUGAUGUUAGCGGCGGACGGGUGAGAAACACGUGGAUAACCUCCCUAUAAGACUGGGAUAACUUCGGGACACCGGCGCUAAUACCGGAUAAUAUUUUGAACCGCAUGGUUCAAAAGUGAAAGACGGUCUUGCUGUCACUUAUAGAUGGAUCCGCGCUGCAUUAGCUAGUUGGUAAGGUAACGGCUUACCAAGGGAACGAUGCAUAGCCGACCUGAGUGAGUGAUAGGCCACACUGGAGCUGGGACACGGUCCUUGCUCCUGCGGGAGGCAGCAGUAGCGUAUCUUCCGCAAUGGGCGAAAACCUGACGGAGCAACGCCGCGUGAGUGAUGGAGGUCUUCGGAUCGUAAAACUCUGUUAUUAGGGAAGAACAUAUGUGUAAGUAACUGUGCACAUCUUGACGGUACCUAAUCAGAAAGCCCCGGCUAACUACGUG